UAAAGAAUAUAGUGGGGGCAACGGACAAAAUGGUGACCAGAUGGGGAAUUUCAACAGAGAACUGGAAUCUGUAAAAGCCAAAGGAACAUUCCAGAAUGGACACAUGUAACAUCUGAAAUAAAGAAUUCCGAUGGGCUGAGCGGCAGAGUUGGACACAGCAGAGGCAAGAGGUCCACUGUCCAUUCCUCUCUGAAUCAGGAAGUUGGAUUUGCCAAUGGCCUGCAUCAGUGGCAGAUCAACGUGGAGGGAUAGAGAGCAGUUUCCAUAACCACCCCUUCCCUUUGCCCUUCCAGUGAUUCUCUGCAUCACCAGCUGUCCUAUAAGUCAACUCAAUUCUGACGCUCUCUGCCUGGAGAUGACAUCGGAUCCCACAGGGUUAAGGUGAAGUCCUACAAGACUGUCCCACUCUUCAGAUGC